UACGGAGGGGGCUAGCGUUGUUCGGAAUUACUGGGCGUAAAGCGCACGUAGGCGGCUUUGCAAGUUAGAGGUGAAAGCCCGGGGCUCAACCCCGGGAGGCGGGUGGAUACUGCUCAGCUCGAGUCCGGAAGAGGAGUGUGGAAUUCCUGGUGUAGCGGUGAAAUGCGCAGAUAUCAGGAGGAACACCAAUGGCGAAGGCAGCACUCUGGGACGGUACUGACGCUGAGACGCGAAAGCGUGGGGAGCAAACAGG
rnacentral:rRNA from 1 species